UCAAGAUCCUCUGUGUGGCACAACCUUAAUGAAAGAGAAUAAGGAAAUAGCGACAGGAAGAAGCAGCAGCAGAAGGAGGAAGAUCCACAUCCAUUUUCCUAAGGAGAGAGGGUUGGAAGAGGAAAACAGAGAGAACACGUUCCUCUGCUAUAAAUGGGCGCACAGCCACCCAGUGAGUCUCCGAGGAAUGAACGAGCUCUGUGUGCAAAGGGCCGUGGAUGCAUUCUUAUGGUGGCAAAGGGGACAGGAACCCACUGGUGUGUGGGAAGAAGGCACUCAUGGUCAUGGGCAGCCAUUGCUAAGCACCUUUCAUAUUUUAUCU
rnacentral:lncRNA from 1 species